UGCUCUGUGGCUUAGUUGGUUAAAGCGCCGGUCUAGCGAAUACGGAGUUGUGGAUUCGUAUCUCACCAGAGUGC
rnacentral:tRNA from 1 species